rnacentral:tRNA from 1 species
UCCACAGUAGCUCAGUGGUAGAGCUAUCGGCUGUUAACCGAUCGGUCGUAGGAUCGAGUCCUCCCUGUGGAGCCA